rnacentral:sRNA from 1 species
UUGACAAACCUUGAGACUAAAAGCCUCUAUACAUUCUGAAAAUGGGUAAAGUAGCCAGGCAAGACUCCCACGUGCCUCGUCAAACCCUGAUUUAGAGAGAGGACCUAUAGAAUGAGAAGGAAGCUCAGUCUCCAUGACCUAUUCAUUCCUUGGCCUCU